AGACUCUCCACCAAGCACACACGCUUUGAGGAACAAGUUUAUGACAUCCCAAUCCUCAUCAAUGAUGGGGGGCAGCCACCCAUGGAAGGCAUUGUCUCCUUAUCAGUUACUUUCUGCCAGUGUGUGGACGGAAGUUGUUUCCGGCCAGCAGGCAACCAGGUUGGGAUACCCACCGUGGGCAUGGCAGUUGGUAUACUUCUGACCACAUUUCUGGUCAUUGGUAUAAUUUUAGCGGUUGUAUUCAUCCGUAUGAGGAAAGAUAAAGUUGAAGAUCCACAGUCCCCUGAGAAUAAGCCUCUGAGGAGCUGAAUUUGAACAGAAAUGUUCAAGAGGUCCUCCAGCUUGGCUAUGGUGUAGACCCUGGGGAGGUAUCAAAUACAACUGCCGUGUUUCAAGAAAGACCUACUUCAUGAGGCACAGGAACUGACGAGCUGUCUGGGUUUACUCACUACUCCGUGCUUACAUACAUGCUGUACAUGUUUUAUUUGUAUAUUGAAGUUUUGUUAUAUAUUUAUCAUGUGGAGGAAAGACGAAAGCAUGUACGUGGUGAAGAAAUCCAAAAUAAAUGUUGGUUUCAGUUGU
rnacentral:lncRNA from 1 species